AUUGAACGCUGGCGGAAUGCUUUACACAUGCAAGUCGAACGGCAGCACGGGUGCUUGCACCUGGUGGCGAGUGGCGAACGGGUGAGUAAUACAUCGGAACGUACCCAGUCGUGGGGGAUAACGUAGCGAAAGUUACGCUAAUACCGCAUACGUCCUGAGGGAGAAAGCGGGGGACCGUAAGGCCUCGCGCGAUUGGAGCGGCCGAUGUCUGAUUAGCUAGUUGGUGAGGUAAAGGCUCACCAAGGCGACGAUCAGUAGCUGGUCUGAGAGGAUGAUCAGCCACACUGGAACUGAGACACGGUCCAGACUCCUACGGGAGGCAGCAGUGGGGAAUUUUGGACAAUGGGCGAAAGCCUGAUCCAGCCAUUCCGCGUGAGUGAAGAAGGCCUUCGGGUUGUAAAGCUCUUUCGGCAGGAACGAAACGCUCUAGAUUAAUACUCUGGGGUAAUGACGGUACCUGAAGAAGAAGCACCGGCUAACUACGUGCCAGCCGCCGCCGUAA
rnacentral:rRNA from 1 species